rfam:Triticum aestivum genome assembly, contig: Triticum_aestivum_CS42_TGACv1_scaffold_641200_T_6AS-0.235772_2BL-0.207686
CUGCUACUCCCUCCGUCCGAAAAUACUUGUCAUCAAAAUGGAUAAAAAGGGACAUUUUGAUGACAAGUAUUUCCGGACGGAGGGAGUACUAAAUAAAUAUACGUCUAGAUACAUCCCUUUUUAUCCAUUUUGAUGACAAGUGUUUUCAGACGGAGGGGGUACUAA